GAUGAAGAACGUAGCGAAAUGCAAUACGUAAUGUGAAUUGCAAAUUCAGUGAAUCAUCGAGUCUUUGAACGCACAUUGCGCCCCCUGGUAUUCCGGGGGGCAUGCCUGUCCGAGCGUCAUUGCUGCCCUCAAGCACGGCUUGUGUGUUGGGCCCCGUCCUCCGAUCCCGGGGGACGGGCCCGAAAGGCAGCGGCGGCACCGCGUCCGGUCCUCGAGCGUAUGGGGCUUUGUCACCCGCUCUGUAGGCCCGGCCGGCGCUUGCCGAUCAACCCAAAUUUUUUAUCCAGGUUGACCUCGGAUCAGGUAGGGAUACCCGCUGAACUUAAGCAUAUCAAUAAGCGGAGGA
rnacentral:misc_RNA from 1 species